UACGUAGGCAGCAAGCGUUGUUCGGAGUUACUGGGCGUAAAGGGUGUGUAGGCGGUUGGAUAAGUGUGGUGUGAAAUCUCCCGGCUUAACUGGGAGGGUGCGCUACAAACUGUCUGACUAGAGUGUGGGAUGGGUAAGUGGAAUUCCUGGUGUAGCGGUGAAAUGCGCAGAUAUCAGGAGGAACACCGGUGGCGAAGGCGGGUCUCUGGGCCGAUACUGACGCUGGAGGAGCGAAAGCGUGGGGAGCGAACAGG
rnacentral:rRNA from 1 species